AACAAUCUCUCUUCAGCACCAAAAAUAUACGUAUAGUCUUCGAAAUAACUGCGAGACGUCGCCAAAUUAAAAGUUGAGACGAUGCGAACAAAUUGUCCGAACGCGACCACAAAAACCUUACACCCCGUUCGUCGAUUGGCCCCGACGAACACAUCAGCUGUCUUAAACAAACGCAACUUGAUCACUCUUUUGAUCUUCGAACGUCCAACACAAGGACGAAAGCGCGCUACAAAACAAAUUCCGAAAUUUUGAUCUUGCACUUCCAGUUGGCUUAAAAAUUGUCUCUGGAAAGAUGCUCGAUUCAUACCAUACAAGUCAUAUAAGCCGAGAACCUAUCGCGGACUUUAAAUCGGUACGAAUCAGGUAGAAAUCGAAAUAGGAAAACCGAUAGCCGGCUAGUCACCGCACAAACCUUAAAACCGAG
rnacentral:lncRNA from 1 species